GUCCUCGUAGUUCAACGGAUAGAACAGAGGUUUCCUAAACCUCUAAUGCAGGUUCAAUUCCUACCGAGGACA
rnacentral:tRNA from 1 species